rnacentral:rRNA from 1 species
GACUGCCUCGGAUAACGGGGAGGAAGGUGGGGAUGACGUCAAGUCAGCAUGGCCUUUAUGUCCAGGGCCACACACGUGCUACAAUGGACGGUACAGAGGGACGCAAGACCGCAAGGUGGAGCAAAUCCUCAAAACCGUUCUCAGUUCGGAUUGUAGGCUGCAAUUCGCCUACAUGAAGCUGGAAUUGCUAGUAAUCGCAGAUCAGCUACGCUGCGGUGAAUACGUUCUCGGGCCUUGUACACACCGCCCGUCACAUCACGAAAGCUGGUGGAACCAGAAGUCACUGGUCUAACCCGCAAGGGAUGAAGGUGCCAAAGGCUUUGCUAGUGAUUGGGGUGAAGUCGUAACAAGGUAGCCGUACGGGAACGUGCGGCUGGAUCACCUCCUUAU